GUGGCAAGCUUAACCGUAUAGGGUAGGCGUAGCGAAAGCGAGUCUUAAUAGGGCGUUUAGUCGCUGGGUAUAGACCCGAAACCGGGCGAUCUAUCCAUGAGCAGGUUGAAGGUUAGGUAACACUGACUGGAGGACCGAACCCACUCCCGUUGAAAAGGUAGGGGAUGACUUGUGGAUCGGAGUGAAAGGCUAAUCAAGCUCGGAGAUAGCUGGUUCUCCUCGAAAGCUAUUUAGGUAGCGCCUCAUGUAUCACUCUGGGGGGUAGAGCACUGUUUCGGCUAGGGGGUCAUCCCGACUUACCAAACCGAUGCAAACUCCGAAUACCCAGAAGUGCCGAGCAUGGGAGACACACGGCGGGUGCUAACGUCCGUCGUGAAAAGGGAAACAACCCAGACCGCCAGCUAAGGUCCCAAAGUUGUGGUUAAGUGGUAAACGAUGUGGGAAGGCUUAGACAGCUAGGAGGUUGGCUUAGAAGCAGCCAUCCUUUAAAGAAAGCGUAAUAGCUCACUAGUCGAGUCGGCCUGCGCGGAAGAUGUAACGGGGCUCAAACCACACACCGAAGCUGCGGGUGUCACGCAAGUGACGCGGUAGAGGAGCGUUCUGUAAGCCUGUGAAGGUGAGUUGAGAAGCUUGCUGGAGGUAUCAGAAGUGCGAAUGCUGACAUGAGUAACGACAAUGGGUGUGAAAAACAUCCACGCCGAAAGACCAAGGGUUCCUGCGCAACGUUAAUCGACGCAGGGUUAGUCGGUUCCUAAGGCGAGGCUGAAAAGCGUAGUCGAUGGGAAACAGGUUAAUAUUCCUGUACUUCUGGUUACUGCGAUGGAGGGACGGAGAAGGCUAGGCCAGCUUGGCGUUGGUUGUCCAAGUUUAAGGUGGUAGGCUGAAAUCUUAGGUAAAUCCGGGGUUUCAAGGCCGAGAGCUGAUGACGAGUCGUCUUUUAGAUGACGAAGUGGUUGAUGCCAUGCUUCCAAGAAAAGCUUCUAAGCUUCAGGUAACCAGGAACCGUACCCCAAACCGACACAGGUGGUCGGGUAGAGAAUACCAAGGCGCUUGAGAGAACUCGGGUGAAGGAACUAGGCAAAAUGGCACCGUAACUUCGGGAGAAGGUGCGCCGGCUAGGGUGAAGGAUUUACUCCGUAAGCUCUGGCUGGUCGAAGAUACCAGGCCGCUGCGACUGUUUAUUAAAAACACAGCACUCUGCAAACACGAAAGUGGACGUAUAGGGUGUGACGCCUGCCCGGUGCCGGAAGGUUAAUUGAUGGGGUUAGCGCAAGCGAAGCUCUUGAUCGAAGCCCCGGUAAACGGCGGCCGUAACUAUAACGGUCCUAAGGUAGCGAAAUUCCUUGUCGGGUAAGUUCCGACCUGCACGAAUGGCGUAACGAUGGCGGCGCUGUCUCCACCCGAGACUCAGUGAAAUUGAAAUCGCUGUGAAGAUGCAGUGUAUCCGCGGCUAGACGGAAAGACCCCGUGAACCUUUACUGUAGCUUUGCACUGGACUUUGAGCCUGCUUGUGUAGGAUAGGUGGGAGGCUUUGAAGCGUGGACGCCAGUUCGCGUGGAGCCAUCCUUGAAAUACCACCCUGGCAUGCUUGAGGUUCUAACUCUGGUCCGUGAUCCGGAUCGAGGACAGUGUAUGGUGGGCAGUUUGACUGGGGCGGUCUCCUCCUAAAGAGUAACGGAGGAGUACGAAGGUGCGCUCAGACCGGUCGGAAAUCGGUCGCAGAGUAUAAAGGCAAAAGCGCGCUUGACUGCGAGACAGACACGUCGAGCAGGUACGAAAGUAGGUCUUAGUGAUCCGGUGGUUCUGUAUGGAAGGGCCAUCGCUCAACGGAUAAAAGG
rnacentral:rRNA from 1 species